GCUUGGAGGAGAGGAGGGGCAGGAAACUAUGGUCAGGAUAUAUAUGUUAAAAUAGGGCUUCUGUCCUAAUAUCCUUAGAGUCAUUCCUAGGGGAAAGCACCACUGGAAACAGGAAAGAAAGUAAGUAAAUUGACAAUUAAUUUAUUAAUUAAUUAAUAAAAUAUUUGAUUUCUGUAACUGGGAAAAGGUUACAUUUCAAAACUUUCAGGGGGUGUCUGAAAUCAAAGAGAGCACUGAGUCCCACACAUACUAUGUUUAUCUUAUGUGUACAUAUCUGUAAUGUUUAAGUUAGAAAUUUAUCACAGUGUCUAACAUAUUAUAUAUUCCAUGGCAAAUGUAGUUAUAACUACAGCAUUUAACAAAAUCCACUUGAAACUUAUUAAUUACAUAUUUCUGAUACUUUCUAAAAUCUUUGCACUGGACUCAAUGUAAACUUGAGAAAGCUAAGCUACAGAGAAGAAUACUGGAGAGUAUUCGUUACUGUGCCAGCCAGCAUGUAAAGGAAGGAGAGCAGGCACCGGAUGGGAUGAGAACAGCAUUCACUACAUCGAAAGGUGUGGGUCACUGCUAGGAAUGGACUUUCAAAUACAAGAAACUGGGAUGCUGAUCAGAUGUGAAUACUUCCUUUAAGUCUACCUUCCUGUUUAUGCUGUUAAGAGACAUUCUAUUAUCCAAUGUCCAAAGCCAGUAGUUUGAUACAUUGCUGAUCAUACAUCUCAAAAACAAAUGAGCUUAUUAUCAAAUGCUCAUUUAUCUUUCAGAUUUAAAAAAAACUAUUAUAAUAAAUCACACUACUUCCUCAAUCUUACCUCCAGGAAGCACAGAAGAAUAUGGAGUUUAUAUUCUGAUAGAAACCCGUGCAUCUGACAAGGAUUCAGGUUUAGUUAACUUAAUUGCGGAAAGAGUGCUCAGACAGAAACACGGUGUUUGAAAACCUAAGCCUCCCACUGUGUAACUCAGAAACAUUUUGGACACUAUAGACUGAAUGACUUUUGAAUUUAACCCUGUCUGUAUGGGGAAAAAUGUUCAGAACAAACAUGUCCUCUUCGUUUCUCCUCUCACCUCUCGUUCAGGUACGCUUUAUUUCUGCACUGGACGAACUCUUGGCCAUUAGAACCAUCUUCCUUCAGCAGUUAAUUAACGCAAGUACCAUAAUUUAAUACAGUUAAUGCUACUUGAUGCCCUUUAAUGUACCUUCCAUUAGUGAUAUUAUUGUAGUAUUACCCUGUAAAUUAAAAUGAGAUCAAGACUAAGAGAGUGGCUCUUUAAUUAAGGUCCUGGCACACCGAACUCCUCUAUUAUUCACUAGAGAAAAUCACCCUGAUUUACUGAAGCGGACAGCCAUAAGUCAGAAUUAGCCCAUGAAGAUUAUUAGGUUUAUUGAACAAUGUAAGUGCCAUGGAGUUGCUGAGAUUGCCAGUAGCACUGCUUCUUCUGUUUCCUCUAUUAUCUUAAUAAAUACUCGGCGAGAAGAGGCAACUGAAAGCAGAAAAGGCAUGUGGCAAGAGAGAAAUACAUUUUAUAAUAAUAUCAUAGUUUUUGUCAUCAGCUCAAUAGAUACUGGAUAUAUCACAUGGUAGCAAGAGCCUAAAGGAUCCGUUAAUCUAAUGACAGUCAAAACAUUGCUUUUAGGUGGAAUAACACUAGUCAAUCUCAUAGUUUAAUAUGUUGAGAUGGAAAAUAUAUUUUCUGUUGCCGGUUUUGCAAACAUUUAUAUCUGGUUUCCAUCCACAUUUUAUACAAUAGUUCAUAUAAAUUCCCACAUUUUGCUUGGGUGGUAUUGGAAGUGACAACAGGAAAAUAUCAUUAUUAAUCCUGGAUACAAACACAUAUAGACAUAUAAGAUUCCAUGACUGUGUGGUCAUGGGAUGAUGGUAUAGGUAAGGUGUGGGAAACAACAUCCUUGCUUAUAUUUUGGAAAAUUUAGAACUUUCUCUUAGACAUCAUCGUCUAGCAGGCAAGCUUUGUAUAGAUCGCUUGUCAUUUAAGGGAGAGAUAACGGAGGACAUUAAUCCUGAAAGCUUCAAGGGAAAAUAAUCAUGAUGGUUCUAGGCUGGGAGGCCUCACGAACCACCAUUGUUCAGCUUUCUGUUUACUGGUUCCAUCAUAGGCAAAUAUUCCUUACAUAACUUGAAAGCUGGAGACAUGCCGGAGCCAUCAGGCCUUGCUUCUUUGGUCCCUCCCCCAGGACUAAAAAUACUCCAGCCAUCUGGUGCCUAGUGCAGUACAUGCCAGCAUCAGUUUGCCCUGAGGAGUUUGGGCAGAGGGUGGAGGUGACAGAGCAGCACCGUAUGGAAGAACCUCACCUCUACUGGACCUUUCUUUUUUUGCCCAGCUGCUUCUCCCUAGCUCACAGCGAUCUGCUGAACAGAAUGACAGUGGAGGUGAGACCAGGGAAGGCAGCUUGAUAGAAUCUGGGUCCAGCUCAACCCUCCCAGCCAGUGAAAAGCAGCUGGAGGUCAUUGGUAAGGCGAGGCUUAAGAGAAAGAAUUCAAAGGACCAGUAUGGCUGCUGAUACGUGUCCCCUGUUUCAGUGGUUGGGGGCCCUUUCUUCUGCCAAUUGGUAUUUUGAAAGACCAUCUUUUCACCUAAGCUCUGUGAGGCCUUUCAGAGUUAAAAAGAAAUCGUACGUGCCCAGUAUGGACUUGAAGAAUUAUCAGUUUGACUUUUUCUCUCAAGGAUUUACCUAUCAUCAAACAACUGGGAAUUACAGCUGGAAAUGGAAAUCGUACUUAGGGCCGAUUGGUUGGUUGAUGUUACUGGAAGUUCCAUGCUGAACAGCACGUGCUUGCAGAAGGCUGUGGGAAACAUUUGGGUUUACACUCAAAACUAUCUUGGAAAACAGAGAGCUCUAUUGACAUUUUUGUCUGGCUUAUCUUUACUCAUAUUGACCAGUGAAAGUCAAACAGAAAAAAGCAAGAAGCAGCGCUGUGGGAUGGCCCACCCACUCGAUUGCUGCCGUGUUUUAGAAAUAGACAUCACUAGCUAUUUGCCGAGGUAAGACCUUUCCAAAGAUUCCAGAACUGGCAGAUUCAUAGAGGAGCCAUGAUCCUAGAGUAUGUUCUAACUGCCAGACUGUGGCACCAUCUCGGGCAGACACUUCCUGUUUUACUUUCGCUUGUCUGCUUGGAGCCUAGGCUACCAGCUUCAGAGAGGCUGGUGAUUGACGUCUUUAUAUGAGAGCUGUAAUUAUUGUAGUUUCCCCUGCCCCUUCUUGGAACUUCUCUGUCUCAGCCUCCUUCUGCCUCAGAUGAUUUCAUGAUUCACACAUGGAGGACCCAGGUUUUCUGUUUUUUCUGAAGAUAUCAAGAUAUCCCUGAAAUGGAACAUGGGACUCAGGCUAUUUUGAGCUUCCCUCUUUUGGUCCAGUAGCUCUACUACUGGCACUGGGAAGAAGCAGAAAGAAAUUAGAAGCAGAGUAGUAAGAUCCAAGAGAGAGGAUAUCUUUACCAGAAAUCAGAAGAACAUUUAUUGGUACCACCAACAUGAACACACUUUCAAGCCCUGGUGAGCACAGACAUAGAGGAGAGGCCUAUAAGGUAGCAUGUUCCCAUUGCCUGAAGGUCAUUAAGAAAUGAAGUGUUAUGAUACUGCAAGCGGAAGGAAAAUCUCAACUAGUAAGACAUCAGAGUUAGUACACUGGGUCUUGACAUCGGGUGGAUUGAUGACAGUAUAGCCUGUUAUACUCUGAGUCUUCGAGAUAUUAGAUAUGCAAAACCUUUAGAACAAAAUCAUCUAUGUAUUUGUAAAUGCAUGAAUCUCAGAUUUUAGUUUGCAAAAUAUAGCACUCCAAGAAUAAUAGGAGACAAAAGGGUUUGUUUUUAUAACUGUUGUUGUUUUUGAGAGAAGGGCCAUCGUAGGUAGCACAGGCUGUUCUGGAAAUAUCCAUGUAGCUUAGGCUGGCCUCAAACUCAUGAUCCUUCUGUCUCAGCCUUCAAAACUGUUAGUUUUAUAACUUUGGAGUUUGAAAGUGAUUGCUCCAUUUUCUAAGGAACCCCUUUGUUCACGGUGGAGUCUCCUCUCCAGAGCAGGCACAGGCUUAAUGUCUGAUUGAAGUUACAGCUUGUUUCAGUCUGUUCUCUGACAGUACUAACACCUUGUGGACAUUUUCACUCGAAAAAUAAAGUCAGGACAGCUUAACCUUACCAUAGUGAGAACACUGGGAGCCGCAUCACAGAUUGUGGGCCAUAAUAGACACCUGCACUAAUCCCCACAGAAGAUUAUGUUCUGGCCUUUCAAACUGGCGAAGGUCACAGGGGUCAAGCAGACACAUUUCUAAAAAGGAGCCAAGUGUGCUCUUCCCUCACAAGCCACACAAAUGAAUGGAACCUAAACCAAUGUUUCCAGUGUUCUGGGGAGGAACAAAAUCUCAACAGAACCAAGCCAAGAGGAAAAGGGAUGUCUAUAGGUAAACAUUGUAAUAAGGCAAUAUGGUGAAGGUGGUUGGAAAAUGGCUUUUUAAAAGUUACUGUCUUAAAAAUGCACAAAUACUGGGUGAACUAUUUUGCUUUAUACGAAAUCAGAACAGAGGUACAAAAUAGAAAUAGCUCAAGAGGGCAGAGGACACUUCAGUUAGAGCAGUUUAUGGAAAACAAGGGUGGUUAGACACCACGCAGUGAGAGGUGCCAUCCUGAAGGCACUGUAAGAGAUGGCUGACUUGAGCCGAAAGCUCUGGUGCGAUGCUCAAAACCAUGUUCCUUCCUUUCUUCAUGAAAUGAACGGUCUAAGGCCAGCGAAGCCUGUUUUCUGGAGGCCACCAGGUGUGAGAGAAUUUGAGAGGAACAAUGCUAUCCUUUGCUGAUCAUAAGAAGGAGGAAGGGAUUCCUAAUUUAUGGACAUCCAAAAGGAUUAACUUGUCAUGUGAAUUCCUCAUACUCCUCAUUGAUUUCAAUCUCUUCCAAACUCUUCCCUUGCUUAUGGGAUACUAAUUAAAGAAGAAUGUUCACAACAUUCUUUGUGAACAUUGUGAACAACACGAAAAUAGCAACAUGGCAAGAACAGGGAGGGUGCACAUUACACAACGAGCAAGCCCCACCCCCAGAAACAGCACUCUGUCCCUAGCAAGUAAACAGAGGCGUGGUGGACACCACAGUGCAGAUCUGUGGGUUGGGGGUUGGCUUGUGCUAAACCCACAUGAUGGAGGAGGAGGAGGACUCUGAGGCUCUACAGCGGCAUGAUAAUUUGCAGCCUGCUUCUGCCUCUGCUUGUUUCAUACAAUUUAACUUCAGAAUUAUGAGUUUAUCUAUCCCAACAUUGAAUCUCUAGUCAGCAAAAAAACAAAACAAAAACAAAAACAAAAACAAAAACAAAAAACAAACAAACAAAAAAACCCCAAACAAACAAAAAACCUGUUGCCUUUGACCCUUUAGCAGUCCUAGUAGCUCUCCACAGAAUAAGGCACGGAACCUGGAGGCCAGCCACCCCUUGCCUCCCCCUUGCUCUCACUAGUGUUCAUCCUCAUGGUAAUGGGCCUUGAUGUCAUCUUCAUAAUAUUGAUCUGCACACUCUACCCCAAGGACCUCUGAUAAUUUGUCUCUGAGGAUAGGUAUUGGCAUUUUCAUGGCAGACACCAGAGAAACAUGUUUAUUAAAUUGUAAGGUGAUCAGGGUGUCUCAAUUCAGGAAUACUGGAUUGGAUAUUCUCACUAGGCAAAUGGUAGACUUAAGCUUAUGUAGUCAGUGACCCUCCUAAAAAGAGAAUAUUUCUUUUUAAUCUUCAGCUCCCGAGGACUCUGUAGAGCCUAAAGCACUUGUUCAUCUGUACCUCUGUCUUUUCCUCAUCCAUUUGAGAAUUAUGUUUGAAUGUGUCACUGUGUUGUAUGCCAAGAGAGAAACACAGUCCCUAUUUCAACGAGACUUGAAGUUUAGUUGGAAAGGCAGACUCUAAAAAAUAAAUAAUUAUGAUCAAUGGAAUGAAUCACUUCGAGGGAUAAUUUAGUUUUGUGGAAGAAAAUAGGGUCAAGGUCACUUGAUCAAGGUGGUUCUCGACCUUCCUAAUGCUAUAACCCUUUAAUCUAGUUCCUCCUGUUUUGGUGAACCCCACCCAUGAAAUUAUUUCCUUGCUACUUCAUAACUGUAAUUUUGCUACUGUUAUGAACUGUAAUGUAAACUUUUGAUCUUUGAUAUGGAAUAGGAUAUCUGAUAUGAGAAUCUCCAAAUGGUUGUGACCUAUGAGCCCCAGAUUGAGAAACGCCAUUUUAGAGGAUCAUACUUAACUCAAAACUUAAAAGUAAAACCAACAAAGAGAGAGAGACAGAGAGAGAAGGAGGGAGGGAGGAAGGGAGAGAGAGAGGGAGGGAGGGAGGGAGAGGGAUAUAGCAGAUGCCAGACCUGAGCUUGGAUAGAACAUGAGGACCUGCAGCAACCACUGAGAAGUGAUUGUUGUAACUAGAUAUUUGGCGGUCAUUUUUACUGAGCUGUGAAAUACUAGAUUUGAAAUUGUAAGGUGAUCAGGAUGUCUAAAUUCAGAAACGCUGGACUUGAUAUUCUCAUUGGACAAACGGUAGAGUUAAGCUUACAUAUCGCUCACUGUGUGUUCAACACUAUUCUAAAUGCUUACAUUAACACGUUGGGAUCUUCAUAACAGUAAUGGAGGUCAGCACUUUGCUCCUAUUGUUUUGUAGAUGCUGGAACGGAAGCACAAAUCAUUUAAAUAGCUUGCUCAGAAUCACAGAGUCACUAACCUUCACAGUGAUUGUAAAACCCAAUUAGUCAAAGGAGUCAAACAUGAAACUGUUGUGCUGUAUGCUGCUGUCCCUGUCUCUCUCUCUCUCUCCAUCUUCAUGAUCAUGAGUCAAUAUGAGUCUGGACCCCUGGGGCAGAUAUAGUCAAUGCUUGAGACAUUGGCUUAAGAAGAUAUUUGAAACUGAGGAUGAAUGAGGAUGCUGGAGGUGGAAGAAUUGAGAUGAGGACUGUGUUCCAGUAAGAUCAAUGGCCAGUACUUGUUUGUUAGCUUCAAGGGUACUAUAUAGCUCUUUCUGGAAAAAUCAUCUCAACAAAUGCAUAUGACUCAUUCUUUACUUUAAAAAAUAAAAGAUUUUUAAAUUUUAUGUCUAUGGGUAUUUUGCCUACAUGCACAGGCAUGUGCACCCCAUGCAUGCCUGGUGCCAUGAAUGUCCUGCAACUGGAGUUCCAGACAGUUGUGAGCGGCUGUGUGGUUGCUGAGAAUUGAAUCCAAGUCCUCUGCAAAAGCAGCCAACACAGCUGAGCCACGUCUCCAGCCCCUUAGUCUUUACUUUUUAAGUUGGUUUGAGUGGAGCAAUUCUAGAAUAAAUGAGAUGUUAAAAUACACAAAGGGUAAAUUUUAAUUUUAAAACCAUUGGUUUUCCUUUGGUAUUAGGAGAAGAUAUUCUUCUAGCAAAGCGUUAAUGCCUAGUGAGUAAAAUCAUAGUACAGUGCUUGCUAGAGGGAAGGAAAAAGCAUUUGAAGAUAAACUGUCUGUAAAUGUACCUUUCUUUUAUUAGUUUAUUUAGAGCUGUGAGAAAAUGAGCAACCCUCCCUCAAAAGAAAAAUUCUUUAAAAAAAAAUCCAUAUCAUCAUUUAAAGUGGAAUUACAGCAAGGGGUUAAUUAGAGUGGAAAGAUGAUGACUUUUCUUUGCCUGAUGUAAUCCUUGUCUGGAGGCUCACUGCCUCAGUCUGCUAACCUAGGCUCAGUCCUGGAAGCUUCUAGCCUCCAUACAGUCUUAUCCAGGCCUAGGAUGUUUUCAGCCUCUGAGACUUGCUGCUGAGUAAGCUCACCCUUCCUUGUUGCUUCUGGUCUCUGGUUGGCUGAUUCAACUUAGCUUUUCUGGCUCAAAAGUCCUCUUCAAGCUGACUGAUUCAAUCUGGCUUCUCUAUCCUUCUCUGAUGCUCUGCUCUGCUUGGCCUCAAACUAAUUCAAGCAUGGAAUUCUGCUGGGGCUGAAACUUUCCUACUGAUCUGUUCCCCUAAUCAUAGUUAAUGAUUUUAGUCUCCCAGCAUCUUUUCCUUUUUGCUUCCUUUACAUGUUCUUCUUCCUUCAGAUCCUUACAAUUAAGAUUUCCUCAUGGCCCAAUCUUUUGGUGUUUUUUUGCUUCCAUUUCUCUUGUAUUUCUUAGAUAUUUCAUGCUGCAACUUCAACUGUCACUUGUUCUUUGAUGAGCCUAUGGUUCUGUCUCUAGUUCUUAUUUCCCAGAUACAUUUCAGACACAUCUAUUCAACUUCCUAUCUGAAUAUCAUCAAAAUUCUGAUUCAUUCAUAGGAAUCCCAAACACAACACAUUGAAAAGUUAACUUUUUCUUUUCUUCUCCUUCCUGGAAAUUACAUGGAUGCGGUGGCUUGAAUGUGAAAUAUUUAUCAAUGUGAACAUGAUGCUAUUUUGGUAGAUUGUGGAAUAAUUAGCUGGAGGCAUCCAUUUUUUUAUAAUCUGAUCCUUCUUUUUGUCUCCUCUUGCUUCUUGACUGUACAUGCAAUGUGACCAGCUAUCUCAUAGUCUCUAGCAUUGUGGACUCUUCCCCUUAAAUUAUAAGCAAAGACAAACCCUUUCUUCCUUAAGCUGCUCCUUGUCAGGUAUUUGAUCACAGCGAUGAUGAAUUUGACCAAUACGAUUGCUCUAAGCAAGGAUGGCUUGACUUGGAUAGUAUUGCUACUAAUGAUAUUUAAUCUGAAUCCAGCAGUGAGAAAGUAUCAGACAAACUGAAACUGAGGAGGCUUUAUACCAAUGAACUGCUCUUACAAAAAGUAAGCCUUCAUUAAAGACAGAGGAGCAGGGCCAGAUGCCAGAUUUACAAAGUAAACAGGUGCUAAUGCUACCCCCUUCCCCCCAAAACCAUUUUAUUUAAACCUGUAAAGAGACAUGUGAUAGAACUAGAAUAGUGGUUGAGUAUUAUAUCCCAGCAGAAGGUCCAUAUUAAUUUUCCACUUGAGGUGGUGUAAGUAUAAUUAUGUAGGAGCAUGUCACCACUUGUGAGAGAUUACAAGGCAUUAAGGUGACAACUUCUGCUCAAGUGAUUCUGUGAAAAAAAUGCUUUUUAUAUCACACACACACACACACACACACACACACACACACACAACUUCUGUACGUUUGAGAUAUAGACAAAUGCAAUGAUGGUUAUUAGGUAUCAAGCCAAGAAAGCAAAUUCAUAAUUUUAAAAAUCAAGUAUCAGUAUUAAAAAGGAUUUUCCCCCAACAAGUCUGUAGCCUAUAUUUCAAAAUGUAUAAGAAAUAGUUGACGAGUUCAAUCCCUCCAUUCCAGGGAUUAGAUCCUUGUGUCCUCAGCCGUGUUUAGUACCAUGUAUUUGUUACAUCCUUACAUGGAACUCACUCAGGUCCCUCUGGUUCUCACUUCAUUAGGAUCGACAUGAUGCUUCUCUAUAACUGAGGGUCCUGUUUGAUUGGUUUUUGUCUAAAUUCAGCUCCUUUUCACUAUGUAAUGUUUCACAAGCAAGUUUUUCAAACCCUGAUUUUGUCGUUUUUAAAAGCCAAUGACACAAUGACAGUCUGUCCUUUAUGAUAUCAACUUGAUAAAACAGUACAGAAAGCAUGUUAAAUGCUUAAUGUUUCCUUUGAAUGCAGUUAUGCUCGAUAAAUAGUAGUUAGCAUGAAUAUGCUCUACUUGCUUCCCUUGGCUAACAGAAUAGUACCUGUUUGCCAAACAGGUUCCCAAGGCACAGCCCACUGUUACUGAAGGAGGAGUGUUCCUACCUCCACUAUGCCUUUCAUUUUCUAAACUGAUAAUUGCCUUAAAAUUUUCUCCCGCUGUAGAUCUUUAGAAUUUUAUAAUCUGUUAUCUGUGGAGCUGCUAAACAGAUCUUUUAAAAAUACAAAUCUGCCUGUGUAUCAUGUUCUCUCUUAAAGGACAAUUAGGUACAAUUCAAAUUCCUUAGCUGCAUGUAAGCUCUUCCCAGGCGUGGCCUCUGAAAGCAUCUUUUGUCUUGUCCAUAUUUGUUCAUGUUCCAUGCACAAGUCAUCCCAAUGUGGGGGAAAGGCAGUUAUAUUAAAUUGCAAUUAUUUUUUUUAUUAACUUGAGUAUUUCUUAUUUACAUUUCAAAUGUUAUUCCCUUUCCCGUUUUCCGGGCAAACAUCCCCCUAAUCCCUCCCCCUCCCCUUCUUUAUGGGUGUUCUCCUCCCCACCCUCCCCCCAUUGCCGCCCUCCCCCCAACAAUCACGUUCACUGGGGGUUCAGUCUUAGCAGGACCCAGGGCUUCCCCUUCCACUGGUGCUCUUACUAGGAUACUCAUUGCUACCUAUGAGGUCAGAGUCCAGGGUCAGUCCAUGUAUAGUCUUUAGGUAGUGGCUUAGUCCCUGGAAGCUCUGGUUGCUUGGCAUUGUUGUUCAUAAGGGGUCUCGAGCCCCUUCAAGCUCUUCCAGUUCUUUCUCUGAUUCCUUCAACGGGGGUCCUAUUCUCAGUUCAGUGGUUUAAAUUGCAAUUAUUUUUAAGUUUCCUUCCAUAUAGAAGAAUAAUUAACACAUAUAUUCACAGGAAAAUAUUUACUCAUUUGAAAGAGUAAGAGAGACAAACAGAAAAGGAGAAUGAAUGUUUGAUAGUAUGGGAUGAAUGGAUGGGAAUUAAGAAUUAAAGAGAUAACCACGUUUAAAGAAUUAACUGACCUCUCUAAGUUGUGUAUAGAAUUUAUAUGAAGAUAGACACAUUGUAAAUAGGAAAAAGAAGUCUUGCUUCAAGUGCCCUGUCUCUAUGUGAUUGAUAUAGUCACUCCAGUUUCUGGUGAGGUUAGAGGACAAUGACAGAUUACAAAGCUGUAACUAUAUCCUAGUCCUUUCCUGGUGUUCACUUUCUCUUCAUUUCCUCCAUCAGUCAAAGCAGCGCUGUGUCUGUUGGUCUCAGAGUGGAACAUCUCUUUUCCUGAUCCCAUCCUAUUCAAGAAGCAGAACACCAAGAACUUGAUUCGUUCUUGAGUGGCUGCAAACUGUGAUGAAGGUGGGUGGGUGUAGCUUUCUAAUGCCCAGUUAUGAAGAGACUCAGUAGGAAUGAGCCCAUGUAAAGCCUGAAGUGAAUGGCCAUAGAGACAAAGGCCAGGCACGAUUUGCUGCGGAGGAGGAAGGUGAUCUUUGUUUCUGGUGGCCAAUUAGAAGGACCUUCAAAGUUCUACUUAAAUCCAGGGUUUGGUUCUUGACAAGUUAAAUUUAACUCUUGAGGCCACUAAAUUAGGAGAGCUGCUUCACAAGCUUAUAAGCUGCAUUCUAUAUAUAGUUCUGUCUUUCUUUCUUUUUUCUUUUUUUCCUUUUAAACAUGCGUUUGCUACCUGUAUAGAUGAAGGCACAGAAAUCAUCAUCUUCCCACUACCUGGUACAUGAAUAGCAUAUUCCAGGGACAUGUGAGUUUACCAAAUUUUCAUUUUAAACCCUCUUUCCACCUCUUUUUUAAACUUUUUUUCUUUGUUCAGUUUUGGAGAGAGAGUGCAGUUGUGUAACCCAGUCUUGCUUCAAACUCACAGCAGUCUUUGUGCCUUAGCUCUUAGCUCUGAUGUGAUUUCGGUUCUGUGUGAUACAGCUGAAAUACAGACAUGUCUUUAGUAUGUACCUUCAAUCUCUCUGGCUGGAAUCCUUUAGUAUACACCUUCAAUUACAAACAGUAACAUAUAUUUGAGGUGCAAAAAAGUGACAAAUCAGAGACAGAUUUGAUAGAAUGAACCAGAGAUAGACAUGUCCAACUCUAAGGAGCAAACCUAUUUAAGAGCAUUGCAGGGAGAGUGAAGGGAUGUAGUCAGGUUAGUUGGGAGUCAUUAAAGUGAGUGCCGUGCAGCAGAGUUGGGUUCCUGAGUUCGUGCAGUUCGGUGCAGGUCAGCAGAGGCAGUUGAAGGCAGAGAAUAAGAAGGAUCCAGAAGGUUAGAACAAAUGGCCACAGUUAGUUUGAAGCCAAGCAGAGCAAUUCAGUGAGAAGCUGAGAGAAGCCAGAUUGAAUCUGUGAGCUUGGAGAGAAGUUGGAGCCAGAACAGCUGACUUUAACCAGCCAAUCAGAGUUCAGAAAGAACUAGAAAGGGUGAGUGUCUUCAGCAGUCAGCCUCCAAGACAAUUACAUCUGGUAAAUAAAAGAUACAUUCACAAACUUUCUUUUCCGAUGUAACUAUUAUUCCCUGUGGAGUUCGAAUAGGUUCACCUAUUUGAAUGGUUAGCCUAUGAGAGUGGCACUUGAGGUCUUAUAUAUGCUUAAGCUUAUAUAUGCCCAGUGUGGCAUAUAGUCUUCUUGUGUUGCCUUGGGAUCAAGAUAUAGAACUCUGAAUUUCUUCUCCCAGCAACCACAUCUGUCUGCAUGUUGCCAUGGCAUUAUCAACAUUAUCAACCCUGAUGAUAUGGACUAAACCUCUGAAACUAUGGCCAGCUCCAAUGAAAUGCUUUCCUUUAUAAGAGUUGUCGUGGUCAGGUUUCUCUUCACAGCGGUAGAACCCUAAGAGACUCUCUUACCCCAAAUAUUCCAUUCUUAACAUUUCUAACAGUGAAAUAAAUUCCCUUUAAAUCUAUUGUUUGUUUUUACAUUCACCUUUCAGAAUUUCCCGUUUUAAAGUUCAUUCAUAAUUCAUAGUAUACUAAUAUGUCCUUAAAAUAGGAGCAUAUUUUAUAUGGAUUAAUGGACACAUCCUGGUGCAUUAACAGCAACAGGUACCACCUUCACCUAUUUGUAAAGGUGGUUGUUAUUUUACCAGGGCCACCAUCAUGAACUGGAAUAAAUCAAACGACAAACAGUAUUAAGCAACUGGCAUGUGCCAGACACGCUCAACAUUACAGAUUAACUGAAGAUAAGGUUAAUUUAUCCUGCGGUUGUGGUGCAGUAACAUGACAAGAAGGAGAGAAUACAUCCUCUUAAAACAGGAAAACAGGUAUGAGAGGGCAUUGGGUUUUAUGGUAAUAAAAUGAUUGCCAAUUUCUGUUAGCAGACCAUAUGUACAAAUGUCUACUGUUAAAGAGGCAUUUUAUUAGACAGCCAUUGUGAAGUAUUUAAAUGAGGUAAAGCCUAGGUUUUAGAAAAUGUCUGUGCAUUAUCUAGGUGAAGAGGAGGGCUGUUAUGUGUGUCAGUUUAAUACAAUUCCUUAAAACUCAUGUCUUCACUCUACUGAGAAGAAACUGAGCUUCACAAUGUCAUGAAUGUAGUAAAGGCGAGCUAUCGAAUCAGGUAUACUUUAUUUGGAAGUUCAUAGUCAUGCUGAAAUAGGGAAUCCAUUUAAAUAUAUAGUGGAAGCUGGGUUUAGAUAGCACAAAAAGCUAGGUAGAAAUUCUUUGAGUUUAAUGAAUUAGAGAAAAUAAAAUCAUCAGUGUUUUCUAGAAGCAGACAUCAUACAUGGUUAGACUUUUUAAAAAUUAGUUUUACAGAUUUUCGUCUAGAGAGAGAGAAAAAAAUCACUCAAGGUGAAUUGAAUUUUAGGAGUCGCUUAAGUUAUGGAGAAUAAUUGAAAGUAUGAUUACAAUCAAAUUCUACUUAUGGACAUGUACAUAAUUCAAGAUAUUGUCUCUGUAUGUAUCCUAAUUUAUACCAUAUGGACAUACAACAAAUGAUGAAAAGUGAAUGAAUGCAAGCUAUUUUGUGAUUAAUUUUUCUAUUUAAUAAAGUAUGAAUAUUCCACAAUAUUGGAGGAGCAACUAAACGUCUUUGACAUGUAAUUGUCUAUUUGUUGUAUAAACUGAUUAGAAAUCAAUUAUAAAUAUGCACCCAUUUUAUUACAAAUCUAAAUGGUCCCUUCACAUAAAUACGCUACACUUGAUCUUAGCCAUUAGUCUUCAAACAUUAGUUCAUCAAAUUGAAGUCAUGUAUGUAUCAAUUAUACACGGAGAGAUACUGUAGGCUAAGAAUGGUGAAAAAUCAGUCUAGAGCUGGUAACCUAGCCAAAGCUCAAGGAAGUAGGGAGUCUUUGUAAGAGAAUGUCAUGGUUACUGCUUCCUACAAACGGGGGUAGAGUGAAGGAAGGAAGGCUAACUAGGAACUAGUUUUAACUAAAUGGGUAUCAGAACAUGUGGCUGGUGUAUGUCAAUUAAAACGAGAUGACAUACAUUCAGCAAGUAUUAGAUUGAUUGGAAGUAGAGAACAAAGAGAAGGCAAGAAUCAGUGGUGUCUAGAAGAUGAAAUGCCCAAGAAGCAUCAAAAAUGGCGGUGAUGAAGCUUCUAUUUGAGCCUAGUGUAAAACUGGGACUCAUUGCCCCAUCCCAGCAGUUCUAUUUGAGAAACAUUAGUUUGACAUCCAAUGUAAUUGAAAAUGAGGAAAAUGCCAUGGAGAUUCAAUUUAUAAUGCACAACAAAGCAGUUUAAAAUUCUCCAUCCUCCUUUUCUCUCUAAAUAUCCCGCAUGCAUAAUUACUGACCUGUAAAUCUUCCCUUUCUCACUCAAAGCUCCCAUUAGCUCAGUCCCAGGAUCAGCUUGCACAGGCUCAUUUCUGUCUCCUGCUUUCUUCUUCCUCCUCUUUUUUAUCUCCUCUUAGUCUGUUCACCCAUUUUAUUACAAAUCCAAAUGGUCCCUUCUGUUUCUUUAUAUAGUCUCAUUACACAUUACUCGUUUAUUAAAAUACGGCUCAGGAGCCAAAGAGACAAAGCAAAACCUCCAGAAAUUGGUGCAAGCAGCUGUAAACCUUUUAAGGAGAUAAGUGGGUACAGUGGUGUUUUGAAGGUGAGGCAGUAGCUAGAUACUAAAAAUCUAGGUGAAGGACAAGGUGUGUGUCCUUCCCUACAGUAGUUACAAGAAGGUUGAAGGCCAAGAAUAAAUAACAAGACGAGCUUGAGAGAGAGAGAAUGUGUGAACAGGGCUAAGAGUUUGUAAAAGCAAAUAGAAACCCUUAAAAGGCAGAAGCAGAUUAGGAAGAAGCUAAGUAUGAUCCACAUUAGAGAGAGAUUAGUAAGGCUGCUGUAUGGACACUGGCUCUGGGCAAAGAUGGAGCGAUGUAAGCCUGGUCAGCUGGAAUAAAUGAUGAACUACUGAGGACUAUAAUUCUCUCCUUUACUAAACACACAGGAAUGCCUUGGUCAAGGUUUACCUUUCCAUCUUGUAAUACUGCCUGUGCCUCAGUUUUCUUAUCCAUACAAUAGGACCAGUAAAGGCUCAAGUUUCAUAGAACUUCUGAGGGAACUGAAUGAAUUAACCAGCAAAUAAAGUUAAACGGAAUGUCUCCAACGUGACAGAAUCUCAAUAAAUGCCUAUAUAUAUAUCUCAAACUCAAGGACCAACAUUUGAUACUACAUUAAGAGAAUGGACAACACUCAAGCUGCUAUGAGGAUGGACAACACUCGAGCUGUAUGUGGAGGAAUUUUAUCUGUGUGUACAAAAUUAAUUUAGAAAUUCUUGAACCAUGAUCUUUUUUUAUUGGAGAGUUUAUGUAUUUAUAUUUCGAAUGCUAUCUCCUUUCCAGGUCCACCCCUCCCCAUCCUCCCUUCCCCUGCUUCUAUGAGGACGCUCUCCCUUUCCAUUCACCACCUGCCACCUCAACACCCUGGUGUUCCCCUACACUGGGGAAACAAGCCUUCACAGGACCAAGGGCUUCUCCUCCUAUUGAUGCCAGGCUAUGUCAUCCUCUCCUACAUAUGUAGCUGGAGCCUUGGGUCCACUCCCCCAUCUCCCAUGUGUACUCUUUGCUUGAUGGUUUAAUUCCUGGGAGCUCUGGGGGUGAAUCUGGCUGAUUGAUAUUGUUCUUCUUCCUAUGGAGUUGCAAACUCCUUCAGCUCCUUCAGUCCUUUCUCUAAUUCCUCCACUGGGGUCCCCAUGCUCAAUCUGAUGGUUAGCUGUAACCAUCCUUACCUAUAUCAUCAGUAAGGCUCUGGCAGAGCCUCUCAGGAGACAUACAUAUCAGGAUCCUGUCAGCAAGCUCUUCUUGGCAUCAUCAAUAAUGACUGGGUUUGGUGGUUGCAUAUGGGAUGGAUCCCCAGGUGGGACAGUCUCUAAAUGGCCUCUCCUUCAGUCUCUGCUCCACUCUUUGUCCCUAUAUUUCCCUGUGAGUAUUUUGUUCCCCCUUUUAAGAAGGACUGGUCCAUCUACAGUUUGGCCUUCCUUCUUGUUGAGCUUCAUAUGGUCUGUAAAUUGUAUCUUGGGUAUUCCAAGUUUUUGGCUAAUAUCAGUGAGUGCAUAGAAGAGGGCCACCCUAGAAGUGCCUUUCUUAGAUCUACUGUUUAGAUAGUUGGUCAUGGUCAGCUCAUCUAAUAGGAGUCUGUGCAUCUAGUCAUAAAUGUGAAAAUGGUAAACUUGGUUAUAGCUGACUUUAUUGACAGCUAACAGCCAAUAUUUGAGCUCCUGUAUAUAAUUUAGGGCACUCUAGAUAGUUGAACGUCUGUACACAGAGAAAAAUAAAAAUUUAAUCUGACCUCUAAAAAGAAUGAAAAGGCAAUUCAAAUACUAGAGAAUAGAGAGGGAAAAUUCUUUUGAAAUGUCAGAAGGGAAAAAAGUAUGUGUGUGAUCAAUAGUGCCAGAUAUUUGAGAAAAGAUAAGGAGUGAGAAAAAUCUCUCUAUUUGUCUUGAAAGUGGGUGUCAAAGUCCUGGAAGUGUGUGUUAUAAUAGGGUGCUGAGACCGAAGCCAUUUUACUAGAGAAUGCUGUAAUGAUCUCUUUUUUAAAGGGAAGCAGGGGUUCCAAACACUCAUUACAGAAGCUGGAAAAUGAAGGCAGGGGAAAACGGGACAGUAGUUUCAAUUGUGCCCUAGAUGAAGUAACAUGCUUGUCAGACUGAUCAAUGUCUGAUGACAGUUCAAAGAAACACCAAGAGAGAAGAGAAAUGUACUCGUGGUAGAAGGGUUAAGUGUGUGUCUGGGUUGGUAGAAUCUACGUUGUAACUGGAAUUGCAGGAUGCAUUUCUAAUAUAAAACCUCUCUUAUUUCCUGGCUAAGUUAUUUUAGUUAGGAGCCAGCAUACUCCAUGGCUAAAAUUAUUGGGUAAAUGUCCCUGGUUUCUUCACCUUCUAAUCUCAUUAAUCUGCUUUGGUUAACUCUCACUAACGGGAACCAAUAUAAGGAUUGAUUUUAGGCAAUUUUAAAUCUUCCUCAAUAUUAGUUCAGGUCCAUACCAGGAGAAAAUCCACUUGUCCUGAAUGGAUUGCACAAGGCUACUCAAGUGAUUUCAAAAAUGGGAAAUCAGAAGAUAUUGAAUUUUAAAUAUUAGAUUAUUUUAUAUUGGACUUUGGAUCUAAUAUUAGAUAUUAAAGUGUAAAAUCACAUUGCCCUUAUUGCUAGCCUUCUUCUUUAUCUUGCUGAAGGAUCAGUAUUGUUUUAGUACAGUAUUUGAUGGCUCUGGAGCCUACAGCACAAGGGAAAAUAUUUUCACUACUUAUUGAAUGGUGGACAGCCGGAGCUUUAAAACAAAUGUUGCCCAAGUUUAAAUACUGUAAUUUAUUAACACGUGAUAGCAAAAACAUAGUUUACUAUGGUAGCAAAAGAAAUCUAAAGCAAAACAAAAUGGAGUGAAAUCCUAAGCUCAUCUACAAAGAAGAAAGGAAUUCUGUUUGUGCGUCCUCUGCAAUGCUGCCUUCAAAGAAACAGCCCUCCAAGGAGGAUGCGCUAUACAGCUGGGUGAGCUGACACCACAGCAAAGCCAACAGGAAACAAAGCAAACAGACAGAAGACCAUCGGACUCACCCACUGGCUUAUCACUAUUUUUCAACUAUACUAUUUUUACAUAUGUUACCUUAGUCAUUAUUUGGGUAAUACUUUGAAAACUCUGUAAAAUCAGAAACAUCAUAUAUGCCAUUGAGCCCUUUAAUAAAACACACAUUUGCCCCCAGUAGCAUCUACCUUGUUAUUUUAUAAUACAUAUGUUCUUCCAUGCACACGUUUUUAAACGUGAAUUGUAAGAUGAUUCACUCCCAAGUAACUCCUCUAUGCAUGCUUCCUUUUGUUGAAGCUUUUACCUGGCCCCUCAUUUCCUUAUCCCUGUCACUUCACUACCUGUUUGAAGCCUUCUGUGACCAGUACUCUCCCCUCUCUCCUGCUAUUACACCUAGACUCUCUAUUGCCCUCAGUGCAUCCUGCCUACUGAGGGCCUGCUUCUAGUUUCCAUAUGUACUCCAUGGUUAACACAAAACACAAGAUUUAAAUCUCAUAUGAGAGAGAGAGAGAGAGAGAGAGAGAGAGAGAGAGAGAGAGAGAGAGAGAGCAGGUAGCAUUGGUUUGGGGGGACCUGUAUGAUCUUACUAAGCAUACUGGUUUCCAGUUUCAUCCAUUUACGUGAGAAUUUCAUGCUUUUAUUUGUCUGGAUAAGUGAGUGAUAUUCCAAUGUUUAUAUAUACUUCAUUUUCAUUAUGAUUAGAGAGAAGGGAGCCUCAGUUGAGAAGAUGUUUGAUGGAUAUAGGUUGAUUCCAUUUACUAGGUAUUGUAAAUAAAGCAGCAGUGAACAAAUGUAUAAGUAUCUCUGUAGUAAGAUGCCGUGUUAUUUGGGUAUAUUCUUAAGAGUGGUAUAGCUAUGACAUGUUAGACCUAUCUCUAUGUUUUUGUGAAAACUUCAGGCUGAUUUCUACAAUGGCUUCAUCAAUUUAUAUUCUCAUCAACAAUAUAGAAGGCUUUCCCUCUCCAGAUACCCACACCAGCAUUUAUUCAGAUGUCCUUUUGUCUUCCUGAAGUAUUUACUAGUCAGUUACAUUUUUCUUCUGAGACCUUUCUGUUCAGUUCCAUAGCUCCUUAAUUUUUUUUCUUGUCAACUCAGUUUCUGUAUAUUCUAGACUCUUACCCAAUGUUUGACGUUGUCUUAGUUGGGGUUACUAUGACUAUUCUGUAAGACCAUGACCAAAAGCAAAUUGGGAAGGAAAGCAUAUAUUUAGCUUAUACUUCCACAUCAUAGUCCAUCACUGGGGGAAGUUGGGACAGAAACUCAAACACAGCCAGAAUCUUGAGGCAGGGCUGAUGUAGAAGCCACAGAGGGAUAUUGCUUACUGGUUUGCUCCCCACGAUUAUAGAAUCCAGAAACAACUGUUCAGGGGAAGCCCCACCUAAAAUUAGCUGAGUACUCACACAUCAAUUCCUAAUUAGAAAAACGUCCACAAGCUUGCUUAUAACCCAGUCUUACAGAGAUAUUUUCUCAAUUGAGGCUUCCUCUUUCUGAUAACUCUAGCAUUCAUCAACUUGACAUGAAACUAACUAGAACAGAUAAAUAACAAGCAAGGACUUUUCUGCUACUCUGUGGGCUACUUGUUCACAUUAGUAACAGUUUCCUUCUGAACAGGUGCUUUUGAUUUUCCUGUGAUCCAAUUUUUUAGUUGUCUUAUUCCCUGAAAUUCCAGUGUCAUAUUUAGAAAAUAUUUUGCACGCAUCUUUACAUAGAAGUAUACUUUUUACUUUUUUCAUAGUUUCAGGAUAUCAGGUUUUAGGUCGGAUUUGAAUGUAUGCAAGAUAAAAGUCUAGUUUCACUUUUCUGAAUGUUGAAAUCCAACUUUCCCAGCACCAUUUGUUGAAGAUGCUGUUUAUUGUCCCAGUGUUUAAGAUGGGGUUGGGAGGAAGGGAAAGCAGGCAUAGGGUGUGGGUUAGCCAGAGCUAAGAAUGCAUGUUAUAAAGAAACCUUAUGAAAACCCACUAGUUUAAAAGCUAAUUAAAAAUAUAACUUGUUUUGAAAAGUAUGAACAGAUAUACUGCAUAUUAAUGUGAACAAUGUUACUCCCAGAAGACAUAGGAUGUAAAAUGACUAUCUUACUGCUGGGGACAGGUAUAACAGCAGUAAGUUAUUAGACAAAGAGGACUCACAAGUCCCCCAAAGCAUCAUUGGCUGUUGCCAUUGCUCUUGACUUUCCCUUAUAACUACAUGGUAAGAUCCUACUGCUGAAGACACCACACACAUUCAUUGCAGACACAGAGAAAUUCAUCUUGAACUAACCAUCUCUCUGCUGACUAGUUUUCCUGGUGCUGAAAGAUGCCGCAGAGGAUACUGGGAGAGGAAAAUUUAUCAAUGAUCCUUUCCAGAGUUGGAAUGUACCUACAACAAUAAUGAAGAGAAAUACUAAGCCCAUCUUCAAAGAAAUAAGGUAUUCUGUUUGGGAGUCAUCUGCAACCCUGCCUUCAAAAGAAACAGUCCCCCAAGGAGGCUCUUAUGUGCAGCUGGUUGUGCUGACAUCGCUAACAGGCAGUGUGAAACAAAAGAACACAGAAAGGAAGAUGAUGGGGACUCAUACUCAUUUGGUCACUUGUCAUGUGACCCACUGGAUCAACUGUGGCAAGACUGGUUCUAGAGAUAACCAACUGUGCUAUUGAUUGCAUUUGAAGCAAGGAAAAUCAUGCCUGGUAUUGUAAACCUGGUCAAAAUCCCUUGCUAGAAAUAUCAUAGUUCCUAGGGGAGAGAGAAUCUACUGAUGUUUUCUAUAAGAGGUCAUUUCUUCAAAUCAUCUACUAAAUACAACCACGACCACUACUGCCACCACACUGAAGUCUCAUAGAUUAUUGUGAAAGAGGAGACUGAAAGCAUGAAAGGACCGGAGGACGAGGGAGAGUCUUAUGAGAUGCUGUCCAGUGGCUAAGACAUGGCUGCUGUAUACAUGAACCCAUGUACUGUGGUCAUCAAGACAUGAUUGGAAGAAGAUCAAGACAGGCAAAAACUUCAAAAUGGAUAGAAGAGGCUCUCCCAAGGCCAUACCCCAAGCUGAGCUAUUGGUAGUUAAUGGUUACCAGAGAAGUCACUGUUCAUGGUAAGGCCACUAGCACAUUUUCUAUUCCUCAGUAAAUGACACUGCAACCAUAUGCAUAUGGCCAGCACCAAUUGGAUGCAGAGAGUUAAUAAUUACUUAAUUGUAAAAGGAAAAUUCACAUAUUUAAUUUCGUGGAUUUAUAAAUGAGGUUCAACUUUUUUAAAAGAAAAAGAUCUAUUGCAUUUAUUUAAAACAGUAAUAUUAAUAACAGUAAACAGUCAGAUAAUAUAUAUUCUUACCCUUUAUAUAUUGAGGCCAUUCUAAGUUCUUUACCCCCAGGUACUUUUUCCUGUAUUAAAUAAUCUCAAAGUGAGCAAAGAACACAGCUAGGGCUAUACCAUGCUUUUUUCCUAGGUUUACACAUGAGGAAGCUGGACUGAAAUGACAGUCAAGGCCUCAAUAUUUAUAAGCUGCAGGAUAUAAAGUUUCCGAUGUGACUUUCUUUCAUGGAUCAGACUGGUUCACCACAGUUGACUGGCACAGAACCUAGCUGAUGUUUUCAUACUCAUAUUCUCUGACGAGCAAAAGCAUAAAAUGUUCGUACUCUGGUCAGGUGUCAGAUAGGUGAAUAAUAAUCUGAUCACUACCAACCGAGUACAAACUGGAGACUCUUUCCUGGGAAGAUAGUUGGAAUUCGGAUUUUAAUAUACGACCAAAAUGAAAAGGAAGAGUGAUGGCCGAGAUGCACAUUACUGGAGUCCAUUUAAUGCAAAAUAGGUAUUUAUUCUAAAUACAGUAGCAAAAGCAGUUGGGCAAUUUAAAGAUACUCUAGUUCCAUGUGCUAGGAGGAAACCAAGGCUUAGAUAGAACUUAUCCAUAAGGAUUAUAGUUUCUGGAAGCAGGAAAAUGGACACAGGUCCUAAGGAAGAAAAAAUACUGCAAGCUAAAACUGUAACGUAGCCAGAGUGAAGAGUGGCUGGUCUUCCCUGAGAUUAUGUAGACACCCCCUGGGAGGAAAUGCUAAGCAGGGAGAAAAGACAACCUUCAGAGAAAUAGAGUGGAGCAGGAUUUGCCAAAUUGACCUCACAGAAAUAUUAGUUACAAGGGUCCUCUCCAUCAAAGGCAUUCACAACAAGAUUCUGAAUUUAAAAUGAGAAGACACAUGACGAGGACACUUGCCUCAUUAUGACCUAGUAUUUCUCCGGCCCUCUUGACGAGUUAAACCCCUUGUCAUGCAAUGGUUAUUUCAAUGGCAUUGAUCUGACAGUCAUUGCCCAGAAUAAAUGCUGCAAAACAGCUGGGAAAGAAACAAUGUAAAAGAAACACAAAGAAACCCACUGUGGAUGGGGGGAGUGAAGAAAAUAUCAGAACAUCUAUUUUUGCUUUUGUUAUCUCAUCCUUUAAAAUUCAUCAUUUCAAUACGUAUCUGCACAAUAGCAUUUCUUCUGUAAGUAGAUGUGCAUGUCCUGCAGAACUGCCCAUCAAACACAUUUGGAAAUUAUGAGGGUAGAAAGAUGACUAUUGAGCGGGGUAGACAUUCCCAGACAGAAUGCAGCCCUACUCUUUACAAACCUGGAGGUUGUUUCAUGGUUCUCCACUGCUUUAGUUCCUUUCUGUGUUUGUCCAAGAUCAAUUUUAGCUCCUGUAGUAUCAUGCUACCCAUUGAGAACUGCCCCUUGUAAGCACCAAUGGUAUAUGAAGAAGUUCAAAGCUAAUUCAAGUGCUUUCUACUUCAGAGUAAAUAGGAAGACAAAUCUAGGCAAUUGUUGGAUAUUUUUAUUGCUAUCAAAAAAGUUUUAAAAAGUAUACAACAAUUCACAUGUAGGUAGGUCUUUGAAGCGUAAACCAACAAUUAUUUUAGGUCUAAUAUUGAAUCUAUUUGAUUUCAAAUAGAUUUUUAAAAGCCCUCCACCACCACCACCCCAGCUACCAUUCCCAAAGAAUUGAUCUCAAAAAGCUCUCAGUUUUCAGGUAGAAAAACACGAAGAAAGAAGAGAGGAGAAAAGCCAUUCAGUCACUGUAGUUAUUGGGAUUUAUAAAAUCCUUUUCUGCAAAGCCCUUAAAAUUCUCUCUAAAUAAGUUUGUGAAUUUAAAAAUAAAAUCUGGAUUUGCUAAAAUAUUAUUAACCUUAAAAUACCCAAUCUUGGGUCUUCCUGGUUGCUGCAGCCGCAGAGAGCCCUUGGGCAGCACCCCACGAGCAAACUUGAGCCUCGGGACCACAGGUAAGACCAACUUGUCUGCUGCAAGAGAGCUGCCUGGUGAGAUCUGGACACACAGAGGCAGAGUUCAUCUAGGACCGGGCACGUCCUGUGUUUGCCGGAGGUCCCACACCCGUGGAUCCCGGCCUGCAGCAGCUCUCUGCUCCCAGACCCCGUGGGAAAGAGACCUCACCGCCUGGUCAGGUGGGCAAUCCUGAGGCGGCAGAGCAGAAGAGACCACCAACACUGCCCACCCCUGCCCACAUCCCUGGCCCAAGAGGAAACUGUAUAAGGCCUCUGGGCUCCCUUGGGGGAGGGCCCAGGAGCAGCAGGACCCUUGCCUGAGACACCGCUGGAACCUGAGGGAAACAGACCAGAUAAACAGUUCUCUGCACCCAAAUCCCGUGGGAGGGAGAGCUGAACCUUCAGAGAGGCAGACAAGCCUGGGAAACCAGAAGAGACUGCUCUCUGUACAUACAUCUCGGACGCCAGAGGAAAAAGCCAAAGACCAUCU